AUAACAAUAAACUUCAUAAUCGAAAGUCGAAGCCUCUCUCCUCUCUCUACAGAUUAUUGCUUCCCUCUUCCUCUUCAUAGAACUCGUCUUCACCUUAAAAAAAGUUGUCAAACCUCAAACCUUUCUUCAUUGCUUAAAUGGAUUGCUGCUUCUUGACCUUCAAACAUCAGAAGCUAAGCCAAAACAGACUCUUUCUCCUGCAUUUUGAAUUCCCAUAUGCAGGAUUUUUCCAAUUGGGCAGCUCAAGGUUAGACUUUUUUACAGUUGUUUAGUAAUUUUAUUACUACCUUAUGUUCUUAUCUGUUUUUUUAAGAUUGUGUGAAAUUCAAUGUGGGUUGAUGUUGAAACUUGAAGUAUCAAGAUAAUCUGAUUUAUUUUUUGGAAAAAUUGAUGACACAGUGAUGUUUUUUUUAUCUUGGAUGGUGUAAGGCAUGUAUAUCUUGAUUUCUACCAGCUUCAAUGCUGUCAGCGAAAAUCUAUGUCAAGUUCGAUGCAUGUGUUUGGUUUCUUGAAUUUGAUUGUAAUUCUGGAUUUGGGUUUGUUAAAGUUGUGAGCUUGUCGAUUUGUUUGAUAAGGUGUCGUGGAUGAUACCGAAUGGCAUAGGAGCUUAGUUUUCAUAAAGGGUUGGAUUAUUGUGGAUGUUACAGUGAAUUUUGUGGUUAAGUUUUGAUUGAUCGGAAAAUAAGUUAUAGCAUGAAAAAUGCUUGGGGGAUAGGUCAGAACUACCUGGGAUCUAAGCUACGCUUUGGAGUUGACAAAUGGGUGUUUAAUGUAAGUUAAGAAAGCUUCUAAAAUUGAUGUUCUGUCAAGUUGGAAGUGAUUUCUUUGUUGCAGUGUCGUUGAUGGAGUGGUCUGAAAGGGGGAAUCCUUGAUCAAGGUCUUUGCUCGUGUUAAAGAACAAUUUGGGUUCUAUCUCAGUCUUGCUCCGUGCUUUUCAACUUGGUACAGGGGAAGAGAAAAAGGUCCGAGUCGUUUCAUUCUGCUUUUAGUAGCACAUGUACGUGCAGGACCACUACUGCUGACUGUGGCGCUUGAAUAUCCUAAAAUAGUUCAUGCUCUUCUUUCUUGCUUAUGUUCAUGACAGUUGAUGGUUAUUGGGUGUCGUGUCCUACAUUUAGCAUGUUAAGACUCAGGACAUAGUUCUUAGAUUUGCAUACUUGAGCUUAUUUCAUCAAGAUGGGUGCCAUGUUCACGAACCAUCACUGGAAGGCCAGAUAUUAGGUAUAAUGUAGAACUAAAUGCCCUCUGAUUUCAUUAUGGAUGGUUAUGAAUAUAAGCCAAUGAUUUGGUUAGGACUUGGGAGUACAAGGCUUAUUUAUUAUUUACAGGGCGAUCAAAAUAUCACCUCACUCAUUCAGAUUUUUGAGACAAUUAUAGCUGAUCAAGCUGGAGUGCUGCCUGUUGUAGUUGGAAAUAUCUGGAGGAAGCUCAUGAUUUUAUUUCGUUGAUGAUGUCAUUAGCUUUCAUCUGCAAUAAUGAAAUGGGUCGUAUGUGCCCAUUAGACUCGGCGAGUGCUUUCACUUUACAUGGCCUCUCAUCCCCGUCAACUUCUUGCGCUGGAGCAGCAUUAUGCAAAUUCUUGGAAGAGCAAAAUGCGGAUUUCGAAGUAUUUCUGCUCUAGCGUGUACACCGGGCAAUCUCACUGGCGUGGAUCCAUAGUGGCAAUUUUCUUGCCGGUGCAAUGCUAUUGGGAGGUUACUGCAAUUUGGCAUGCACACAUCAAUUUGCAGCUAACAAGUCCAAGUCUUGGUCUUUCUUUCCACAGCACCAAGUACAUUGAAUUUCCCUAAAUCCUUAGAUGAAGUCAACCUUUUUGGUUUAGGGCCAAUUUUGACCCUUUGGAGGCGAGACACUGAUGUGCCAACAAACCUUUAAGGUAGGUUGAAUCAAGCAAAAAGAGAGAAAAAUCAUCAUAUGCAGUGCAAAUUUAACCUUCUCCAUUGUGUGUUAGAUUCUUGUUUCUUUUUCAACUAGAAAAUAAAUAAAUCUGUAUUGGAUUCUGAGGGAAGCAUGGGAGGGAAUUUAGAUACCCUUCUCUUCAGUUUUUUGAAAAUUCUCACCGCAUGGUCCACACCACCUUGAUGUGUCUUGGUCCAUUAUGUUCAUCAAAAGGAGAAAAGAGGGAGAAUUGUCUAGACUGUUGUGGUUGUGGCUGGGUAAUUUGUAUGGUUGGGUCCAUAUAGUAGAAGCUUUGUCAAAAAGGAGAAGCAUGUCAUGUAGACAACUACUAAAUCAUCCACCCAUUUAAAAUUGCUAGACUAAUUUUGAUCUAGUUUAUAAUUUGAUAUGUAAGGAUUUAUUUGUUAAAAAAUAAUUUAGGAAUUAUAUUAUAUUUACUGUAAAAUAUGAUGAUAAAAAUACUUGUAAUUAAGGAUUUUUGUAAAUAAAUAAAAAAAUUUAAAAACUAUCAAGGAUCAAAAUGUAUAUCAAUGUAAAUUUUAUGCUACAUGAACGUGAUACUUGUCAAUUUUUAAUAAUGACAAAAAUAUAACUUACAUGGAUGAUAUUAAGAUAAGAAUGGUAUAAAAUCCUUUUAAAUAAAUCAAAUAAAGGGAUGCGUAAAAGCUUACAUUACAAAUAAAUGUCAUUAAUUUAAUGCGUUUUUAAAUGAAAAAUACUUUAAAAAACAGAUUAUAACACAAAAACAAACACUUAUAUUACAUGCUGGAAAAGAAAUCAACAUAGUUGUGUUGUUUAAAUAGGUUGCUGGUGAAGAUUAGAUUACACAAUUAAGAUUAGCUAAUGCUUGAUGACUUUGUGUCAAACCAGUAGGCUGUAAUUUAGGGUGAAAAUGUUUCUUAUAUUAUAGAUUUUGUGCUGUUUACAAAUCUCAUGCAUUUCUUAUUCACUGUCUUAACAUUUUUUUGCAUCUCAGUAUAUUGAAUUUACCUAGAUCCUUAGAUGAAGUAAACCUUUUUGGUUUAGGGCCAAUUUUGACCCUUUGGAGGCGAGACACUGAUGUGCCAACAAACCUUUAAGGUAGGUUGAAUCAAGCAAAAAGAGAGAAAAAUCAUCAUAUGCAGUGCAAAUUUAACCUUCUCCAUUGUGUGUUAGAUUCUUGUUUCUUUUUCAACUAGAAAAUAAAUAAAUCUGUAUUGGAUUCUGAGGGAAGCAUGGGAGGGAAUUUAGAUACCCUUCUCUUCAGUUUUUUGAAAAUUCUCACCGCAUGGUCCA